AGGCUGUUUCAGCUGCAUGCCAUUGUUAGGAUCAUUCACUCAUACCUCUUCGUUUAGGAUAGAGAACAAUCAGGCAAAGAAGGGGGAGGACUCACCCAAGGUUGCAAUUGUCUAUCUCUGCAUUAUGUGCAAACCAAAAUGAGAACUGUGGGAAUAAAACACAUGGUUGUGUUCACGUUCUGAAUGUUCAAGUAUUAGCAGAAUUGAGAGAUCCAUAAAGUCACAAGAAAUCAUGAAAAAUUA